rnacentral:rRNA from 1 species
AGAGUUGAUCAUGGCUCAGAACGAACGCUGGCGGCGCGUUUAAGCAUGCAAGUCGAGCGGCAAGGGCCUUCGGGCCCCUAGAGCGGCGGACGGGUGAGUAACACGUGGACAAUCUGCCCCCCGGCCCGGGAUAGCCCAGGGAAACCUGGAUUAAUACCGGAUGAGACGGGACCCGCGAUGGCGGGAUCCGGGAAAGGCGCUGCGGCGCCGCCGGGGGAUGAGUCUGCGUCCCAUUAGCUAGACGGCGGGGUAACGGCCCACCGUGGCGACGAUGGGUAGCCGGCCUGAGAGGGUGGACGGCCACAUUGGAACUGAGACACGGUCCAGACUCCUACGGGAGGCAGCAGCUAAGAAUCUUCCGCAAUGGGCGAAAGCCUGACGGGAAGCGACGCCGCGUGAACGAAGAAGGCCGUGAGGUUGUAAAGUUCUUUUCGGGAGGGGGAACAACCGUGGCAGGGAAUGGCCGCGGGAUGACGUGAAUCCCGGAAUAAGCCCCGGCUAACUACGUGCCAGCCGCCGC